rnacentral:tRNA from 1 species
GUGAGCGUAGCUCAGCUGGUAGAGCUCCAGACUGUGGAUCUGGAUGUCGCGGGUUCGAAUCCCGUCGCUCACCCCA